AGCCAAAAUCGUGUACAAUCAACAACAACAUCAAUCAACGGCUUCAACCCGAAUCCAACCCAGCAAAGCUGACCCAACAUCUAAUUCUGACCCGACCCUGAUACCUACAUCAACGAUAACACCAACAACUUAAUCCGGCACCCUGAAACCCGGCGAUCCGCCGACCCGAACCCGCGAUAAACACAACAUUAUCCAUCAACAACCAAGGGAGUCCUAAAGUGUCAUUUGCGUGUGAUUGAUGAGCCAUCCGCUUCUAGAAGAGUUUAGAAACUGUCCAGCUGUCUCUUUUAAUGGUAUAAUAUCUCACCAUCAUCCGAUUCAUACAGAGGUAGAAGGUGGAUAUUAAUUCUAUUUUGAAAUUUUGAAAUCCUCUCCUGGAAUUUCUAUCUGAUUUUUCCAUCCCACAUCGAAAGGAAAAAGGGCUGGACUCUAAAGUUUUUCCUAUAUAUACUCUUACUAUUUUCGUUGAAAGGGGAAAAAGGGGAAAAACCCUUUGAGCAAAAAUCAGUAAAUUUUUAUUUUAGUAAAAUUUUAGAAGCCGUCGAUUUGAUCGGAAUUCUCGAAGGACCUAUUUUCGGUGGUGGUGUCUCCCGACGUUAGCUUGAGGUCCUGUUUUGCUGCCCCGAAGAAGGUUACGUAUUUUAUUUUCUUAUUCCUUGACCAUGUGGGGUUUUCCGAAUGGACUUCCCUUCCUUUGCAUUUCUAAGAGGACAAUGAGGCGCCUCUUUUCGAGUCAAACUUUGAGGGAAAAGUUUUUAAAAGUUGACCAUGUGGCAUACCGAAUGCAAUGCAAGGAGUCGAAAGAAGAAGAAAUGGACUAAAGUCUCAUCCUUGAAGCAGCUAAGAUACUUGAAAGUCCUAUUUCUUCAUUUAUUCAUUUGUAUUAUUGUCUUUAUUUAUUUAUUUCAUUGUUUAUUCAUUUGGGCCUCGAAACCAAAGUUGUAAAUUUAAUACAGGUGGAGCAGAUUUUGGGUCAAUGGGCCUGAAAAAAUAGUUUAGACAGGUUAUGGGCUAAGGCCCAACAUUUAGAUUACGACAGGUGCAAGUGGGUCAAAAACUUAAUUAGAUUAAGACAGGGUCUAUUGAUUUGGGCCCAAUGGUCUAAGUCCUUUAUUUCCUCCCCUUCCCCUUUUACAUGCUUUGUUAUUAAUUUAUUUAGACUUAGUUAAAAUUUCUACUAAGUCGUCCAAAUCUAUUUUACAUAAGCCUUUUCCUAAAAUCAAUCACUUAUCAACAAUCAAUUUUUUUGAAGUUAGUCAAAAGAUAUUUUCAAACAGUUCGGAUAACUGUAAGUUAGCGGACGUUUUAGGUGCCUUAAAACCUUCCUAAAAUGUUAAUGGGAACUGCUUACCUAGAAUUUCUAACUUAAAUGAUUUUUCUAUUUUGAACCACCUAAAUACUUUACAAAGAUUUUCUCAAUCCUUUUCAAAAUUAUGUGGGGUUUCUCAAAAGUCAAAAUUUUUGUAAAACAGAAAUGACAACUUUGUUGGGGAUUCUAAUUAAGUUUUAACCAAAUGUUUGACUUUAUCUUUGAUUAACUGUUUAAAUUGCUUACAUGUUUAUAUGUUUUGAUUUUGCAGAAUUUAAUUAUUGCAUCUCAUACAUAGCAUAAUCUCACAUUUGUUAUUAAUUUAUUUUGGGGUUUCAUAGAUGUCUCGAUCCUUGUUGUUCAACUUCAAAUGAAGUGGUAGAAAUACGAUGAUUUAUUAGCACGUGAGGCGUCUGAUGGAUAUUUGUAUUUUCAAAUUCAAGUCGUUCGCUUGGGAACCUGGUUCAAAUUCACUCUAGAUACCUAGGAUAACGCAAAACCAAAAUCUUAUAUUAGGCAUGAGCCUAGGACGACUCAAUACCCGAGGGGGUAUUGCGCCCAUUAGAAAACUUGUCCUGUGUCAAUCGACCUUGAGUCAAUUACAGACGAAUUAUAUUUAUAUAUUGAAGAAAUAUAUGCUAUUUAAUCCAA